rnacentral:rRNA from 1 species
GGCUACCAUGCAGUCGAGGGGCAGCAUUUCAGUUUGCUUGCAAACUGGAGAUGGCGACCGGCGCACGGGUGAGUAACACGCUAUCCAACCUGCCGAUAACUCGGGGAUAGCCUUUCGAAAGAAAGAUUAAUACCCGAUGGUAUAAUCAGACCGCAUGGUCUUGUUAUUAAAGAAUUUCGGUUAUCGAUGGGGAUGCGUUCCAUUAGGCAGUUGGUGAGGUAACGGCUCACCAAACCUUCNAUGGAUAGGGGUUCUGAGAGGAAGGUCCCCCACAUUGGAACUGAGACACGGUCCAAACUCAUACGGGAGGCAGCAGUGAGGAAUAUUGGUCAAUGGGCGCAGGCCNUGAACCAGCCAAGUAGCGUGAAGGAUGACUGCCCUAUGGGUUGUAAACUUCUUUUAUAUGGGAAUAAAGUUUUCCACGUGUGGAAUUUUGUAUGUACCAUAUGAAUAAGGAUCGGCUAACUUCCGUGCCAGCAGCCGCGGUAAUACGGAGGAUCCGAGCGUUAUCCGGAUUUAUUGGGUUUAAAGGGAGCGUAGGUGGACAGUUAAGUCAGUUGUGAAAGUUUGCGGCUCAACCGUAAAAUUGCAGUUGAUACUGGCUGUCUUGAGUACAGUAGAGGUGGGCGGAAUUCGUGGUGUAGCGGUGAAAUGCUUAGAUAUCACGAAGAACUCCGAUUGCGAAGGCAGCUCACUGGACUGCAACUGACACUGAUGCUCGAAAGUGUGGGUAUCAAACAGGAUUAGAUACCCUGGUAGUCCACACAGUAAACGAUGAAUACUCGCUGUUUGCGAUAUACAGUAAGCGGCCAAGCGAAAGCAUUAAGUAUUCCACCUGGGGAGUACGCCGGCAACGGUGAAACUCAAAGGAAUUGACGGGGGCCCGCACAAGCGGAGGAACAUGUGGUUUAAUUCGAUGAUACGCGAGGAACCUUACCCCGGGCUUAAAUUGCAUUUGAAUAUAUUGGAAACAGUAUAGCCGUAAGGCAAAUGUGAAGGUGCUGCAUGGUUGUCGUCAGCUCGUGCCGUGAGGUGUCGGCUUAAGUGCCAUAACGAGCGCAANCCCUUAUCUUUAGUUACUAACAGGUCAUGCUGAGGACUCUAGAGAGACUGCCGUCGUAAGAUGUGAGGAAGGUGGGGAUGACGUCAAAUCAGCACGGCCCUUACGUCCGGGGCUACACACGUGUUACAAUGGGGGGUACAGAAGGCAGCUACCUGGUGACAGGAUGCUAAUCCCAAAAGCCUCUCUCAGUUCGGAUCGAAGUCUGCAACCCGACUUCGUGAAGCUGGAUUCGCUAGUAAUCGCGCAUCAGCCAUGGCGCGGUGAAUACGUUCCCGGGCCUUGUACACACCGCCCGUCAAGCCAUGAAAGCCGGGGGUACCUGAAGUACGUAACCGCAAGGAGCUCCUAGG